CUACGGGACGCUGCAGUGGGGAAUAUUGCACAAUGGGCGCAAGCCUGAUGUAGCCAUGCCGCGUGUAUGAAGAAGGCCUUCGGGUUGUAAAGUACUUUCAGCGGGGAGGAAGGGAGUAAAGUUAAUACCUUUGCUCAUUGACGUUACCCGCAGAAGAAGCACCGGCUAACUCCGUGCCAGCAGCCGCGGUAAUAGGAGGGUGCAAGCGUUAAUCGGAAUUACUGGGCGUAAAGCGCACCAGGCGGUUUGUUACGUCAGAUGUGAAAUCCCCGGGCUCAACCGGGGAACUGCAUCUGAUACGGGCAGGCGUGAGUCUAGUAGAGGGGGGUAGAAUUCGAGGUGUAGCGGUGAAAUGCGUAGAGAUCUGGAGGAAUACCGGUGGCGAAGGCGGCCCCCUGGACGAAGACUGACGCUCAGGUGCGAAAGCGUGGGGAGCAAACAGGAUUAGAUACCCCGGUAGUC
rnacentral:rRNA from 1 species